UUUUACAGAACACUGACUCUUCUGAAGGAGGGCCUAUGGGUUCACUGUUUAUUAGAUGAUGAAGAGAUCUUGAUAACCCUCAAGAUUCUACACAAGACUGAGGGCUUUCACAGGUACCAGGCUGAAAUGGCUUUACAGUCAAAUACUUAUUUGGAGCUGGGGCCGUGUGAUCCACAAUGGUUUUAAUUGACCUUCAAAAACAAGGAUGUUGUCCCAGCCCUGUGUUGAGGCUGGGGCAUAAAUAGGUUAUACAUAUUAUGGCCAAAUAGGCAAAGUGCAUUUUUACUUGUGGACAUUUACAGGAACACUAUUUCUGUUUUAUUUUUCUACUAUGUAAUAUUUAUGGACAAUUUUUACAUAUUUAUAUUUUUGUUUUUGUAAAUAUGACAGUUACAUUAUUUUAUUCUAAUUUAAUACAUCAGAAUUUUUAUCUUCUUUUUUGUCACUC